rnacentral:rRNA from 1 species
AGAGUUUGAUCAUGGCUCAGAUUGAACGCUGGCGGCAGGCCUAACACAUGCAAGUCGAGCGGUAGCACAGAGAGCUUGCUCUCGGGUGACGAGCGGCGGACGGGUGAGUAAUGUCUGGGAAACUGCCUGAUGGAGGGGGAUAACUACUGGAAACGGUAGCUAAUACCGCAUAACGUCGCAAGACCAAAGUGGGGGACCUUCGGGCCUCAUGCCAUCAGAUGUGCCCAGAUGGGAUUAGCUAGUAGGUGGGGUAACGGCUCACCUAGGCGACGAUCCCUAGCUGGUCUGAGAGGAUGACCAGCCACACUGGAACUGAGACACGGUCCAGACUCCUACGGGAGGCAGCAGUGGGGAAUAUUGCACAAUGGGCGCAAGCCUGAUGCAGCCAUGCCGCGUGUGUGAAGAAGGCCUUCGGGUUGUAAAGCACUUUCAGCGGGGAGGAAGGCGNCGAUUGACGUUACCCGCAGAAGAAGCACCGGCUAACUCCGUGCCAGCAGCCGCGGUAAUACGGAGGGUGCAAGCGUUAAUCGGAAUUACUGGGCGUAAAGCGCACGCAGGCGGUCUGUCAAGUCGGAUGUGAAAUCCCCGGGCUCAACCUGGGAACUGCAUUCGAAACUGGCAGGCUAGAGUCUUGUAGAGGGGGGUAGAAUUCCAGGUGUAGCGGUGAAAUGCGUAGAGAUCUGGAGGAAUACCGGUGGCGAAGGCGGCCCCCUGGACAAAGACUGACGCUCAGGUGCGAAAGCGUGGGGAGCAAACAGGAUUAGAUACCCUGGUAGUCCACGCCGUAAACGAUGUCGAUUUGGAGGUUGUGCCCUUGAGGCGUGGCUUCCGGAGCUAACGCGUUAAAUCGACCGCCUGGGGAGUACGGCCGCAAGGUUAAAACUCAAAUGAAUUGACGGGGGCCCGCACAAGCGGUGGAGCAUGUGGUUUAAUUCGAUGCAACGCGAAGAACCUUACCUGGUCUUGACAUCCACAGAACUUNNNNNNNNNNNNNNNNNNNNNNNNNNNNNNNNNNNNNNNNNNACCUCAUAAAGUAUGUCGUAGUCCGGAUUGGAGUCUGCAACUCGACUCCAUGAAGUCGGAAUCGCUAGUAAUCGUAGAUCAGAAUGCUACGGUGAAUACGUUCCCGGGCCUUGUACACACCGCCCGUCACACCAUGGGAGUGGGUUGCAAAAGAAGUAGGUAGCUUAACCUUCGGGAGGGCGCUUACCACUUUGUGAUUCAUGACUGGGGUGAAGUCGUAACAAGGUAACCGUAGGGGAACCUGCGGUUGGAUCACCU